GGAUCAGACUCGUGCCCCCUGCAGUCAGAAGCACAGAGCCCUAACCACUGCAAAUUGAAAGCACCAAAGACAAGAGAGGUCCCAAAUGGGGCCUCCUCUGACAGCAUCCUCUUCUUUACUGCCCUAACGAAGACUUCCCCCUGCUCAGACUACAGAGAUUCAGUUCUUUCUUUUUUUAUUACUUAUUUUUAAUUGAGGAGGAUACUGCCUAAAGCUCACAUUUGUAGAUCAUUAUCCCACUUCUGGGGAUAAUCUCAGCUCAACCUCAAAGCCAAGAGUCAAAAUAACAAGUAUAAACAGACAUACAUACCUUGCUGGCAUCAUAGUCUUGAAGUCUUCUCCUGAAGGGCAAUCUUUCAGUUUUAAAACAACUGUUUCUCCACCUUUCGUUUUUUGCCGUUCUGUAAGAAUGCAAUUGAUUAUUAAAAGAUAAUCUCUGUCUUUUUAUUAAUGUUUAGAGGAAGGAAGAAAUGUGAAAUGAAUGAAUACCUCUAUUAUUGUACAGUAGGUAAAGAAUGCUUGCUUAUGGACUUUUCUUAUGUAUUCAUGUAGUAUUAAGAUGUUUGUUCCUUAUGAACACAGAUAUCUGUAAUAUCACCAUAAAAUUCUUUAAAAAAAG